AUUGAACGCUGGCGGCAGGCCUAACACAUGCAAGUCGAGCGGAAGGUUCUUCGGAACCGAGAGCGGCGGACGGGUGAGGAAAGCGUGGGAAUCUGCCUGUAGAUGGGGGAUAGCCCGGAGAAAUCCGGAUUAAUACCGCAUAAAUACCUGAGGGUUAAAGUGGAGGAUCGCAAGACUUCACGUCUACAGAUGAGCCCACGUCAGAUUAGCUAGUUGGUAGGGUAAAGGCCUACCAAGGCGACGAUCUGUAGCUGGCCUGAGAGGGUGGCCAGCCGACACUGGAACUGAGACACGGUCCAGACUCCUACGGGAGGCAGCAGUGGGGAAUAUUGGACAAUGGGCGCAAGCCUGAUCCAGCCAUGCCGCGUGUGUGAAGAAGGCCUGGUGUAAGCACUUAGUUGGAGAGGUUGAUGUAAUACCGUCAGAAUUGACGUUACAACAG
rnacentral:rRNA from 1 species